rnacentral:rRNA from 2 species
CUAACAAGGUCUCCGUUGGUGAACCAGCGGAGGGAUCAUUA